rnacentral:rRNA from 1 species
AGUCGAACGGCACGGACUUCGGUCUGGUGGCGAGUGGCGAACGGGUGAGUAAUGUAUCGGAACGUGCCUAGUAGCGGGGAUAACUACGCGAAAGCGUAGCUAAUACCGCAUACGCCCUUCGGGGGAAAGCGGGGACCUUCGGGCCUCGCACUAUUAGAGCGGCCGAUAUCGGAUUAGCUAGUUGGUGGGGUAACGGCUCACCAAGGCGACGAUCCGUAGCUGGUUUGAGAGGACGACCAGCCACACUGGGACUGAGACACGGCCUAGACUCCUACGUGGAGGCAGCAGUGGGGAAUUUUGGACAAUGGGGAAACCCUGAUCCAGCCAUCCCGCGUGUGCGAUGAAGGCCUUCGGGUUGUAAAGCACUUUUGGCAGGAAAGAAACGGCACGGGAUAAUACGCAACUGACGGUACCUGCAGAAUAAGCAAUCGGCUAACUACGUGCCAGCAGCCGCGGUAAUACGUAGGGUGCAAGCGUUAAUCGGAAUUACUGGGCGUAAAGCGUGCGCAGGCGGUUCGGAAAGAAAGAUGUGAAAUCCCAGAGCUUAACUUUGGAACUGCAUUUUUAACUACCGAGCUAGGAGUGUGUCAGAGGGAGGUGGAAUUCCGCGCAGUGAAAUGCGUAGAUAUGCGGAGGAACACCGAUGGCGAAGGCAGCCUCCUGGGAUAACACUGACGCUCAUGCACGAAAGCGUGGGGAGCAAACAGGAUUAGAUACCCUGGUAGUCCACGCCCUAAACGAUGUCAACUAGCUGUUGGGGCCUCGGGCUCCUGGUAGCGCAGCUAACGCGUGAAGUUGACCGCCUGGGGAGUACGGUCGCAAGAUUAAAACCUCGUGGCUGGACGGGGACCCGCACAAGCGGUGGAUGAUGUGGAUUAAUCUGAUGCAACGCGAAAAACCUUACCUACCCUUGACAUGUCUGGAAUCCCGAAGAGAUUUGGGAGUGCUCGCAAGAGAACCGGAACACAGGUGCUGCAUGGCUGUCGUCAGCUCGUGUCGUGAGAUGUUGGGUUAAGUCCCAACGAGCGUAAACCUUGUCAUUAGUUGCUACGAAAGGGCACUCUAAUGAGACUGCCGGUGACAAAACCGGAGGAAGGUGGGGAUGACGUCAAGUCCUCAUGGCCCUUAUGGGUAGGGCUUCACACGCCAUACAAUGGUCGGGACAGAGGGUCGCCAACCCGCGAGGGGGAGCCAAUCCCAGAAACCCGAUCGUAGUCCGGAUCGCAGUCUGCAACUCGACUGCGUGAAGUCGGAAUCGCUAGGCAAUCGCGGAUCAGCAUGUCGCGGUGAAUACGUUCCCGGGUCUUGUACACACCGCCCGUCACACCAUGGGAGUGGGUUUUACCAGAAGUAGUUAGCCUAACCGUAAGGAGGGCGAUUACCACGGUAGAUCUAUGACUGGGGUGAAGUCGUAACAAGGUAA